rnacentral:rRNA from 1 species
AGAAUCAACGCUGGCGGCGUGCCUAACACAUGCAAGUCGAACGAGAAAGUGGUAGCAAUACCAUGAGUAAAGUGGCGCACGGGUGAGUAACACGUGACUAACCUACCCUGGAGUGGGGGAUAACUGAGGGAAACCUUAGCUAAUACCGCAUAAUACCUACGGGUCAAAGGAGCAAUUCGCUUCAGGAGGGGGUCGCGGCCGAUUAGUUAGUUGGCGGGGUAAUGGCCCACCAAGACGAUGAUCGGUAUCCGGCCUGAGAGGGCGCACGGACACACUGGAACUGAAACACGGUCCAGACUCCUACGGGAGGCAGCAGUGGGGAAUUUUGCGCAAUGGGGGAAACCCUGACGCAGCAACGCCGCGUGGAGGAUGAAGUCCCUCGGGACGUAAACUCCUUUCGAUCGGGACGAUAAUGACGGUACCGAGAGAAGAAGCCCCGGCUAACUUCGUGCCAGCAGCCGC